rnacentral:misc_RNA from 1 species
AUUAUUAUUAUUAUUAUUAUUAGUGUUGUUGUUGUUGAUGUUGUUGUUGAUUUUGCAUGACUUAUUAGUUGGAAAAUAGCUCUCCUUUUAGUGUUUUCCUCUAAUACCAUAUACAAAGAGACAUUAAAAGAAAAUUUUCAAAACCUCUGAACAGAAAAUAAUCUUUCAAAAACUCCAAAAUUAUAUGCACAGAACACAAAUAUCCCAGACCCAGAAAGAAAAUACACGUAAACAUACCUACAUGAUAUUAUGCAAGUAAGAAUGUGUACCUGGGCCAUGGGCUGCGAAGGAAC